AAAGGGGAUCUUGGCCGUUUCCAAACAGGACACCGGCCACCUCUGUGAGGACACGUUCUCUCAGCCCAUCUCCAGGAGCUGACAGGGGCUGUAUGCUUCCGAUUACAUAGCACUUGCAGAUGGAGCUAAUUGGUGACUCCUUUUUAUCACCUCUCCGGUAUCAUCUGGAUGAACUGGCUCUAUCACUCUACAGCCCCAGAAACAGCAGUGCCAUGGCAGUUCCCCAAGCUGGAACCCCUGGCACAAGCUUCAAACAGAAACCGAAAGGCUCUCUUGGCCAGCGAGGUGAUAAUGGCGCAGGCAGCAACACGCACCGGAGCCUCUGAACACCUGGGUUCUUUGCCUUGGCUUUCAGGGGAACUUAUUAAAGGUUUUUAUGCCUCAGUUUCUCAGUUUGCAGCCACCUCGGUAAAUUACUUGAAAGCUUUGUGGAUGGGAAAUACACAGCAUCAGCAGCUUGCUAAUACCAAGGUGCAAGAUUUUGUUUUUCUCAGAUCAGGGCAAUAAAGUACUAAUGCAAAGAGAAAGGCAGCAACAGAUAACACUAGAAAAGAAUUGACUUCCAUAUGGAACAAUAACUUCCUUUGGGCUUUUCUCCAGCUCUACUUCAAUAAUCUCCCUUUUAUUACCCUUUAUAUGAGUUUCAAGUUCCCUGGCUGCAAAGGCUGGCAGAGAGUGAGGCGGAGCUGCUCUCCUGAGACAGCUCUUUUGGCUUUCUCUAACCUGGUGACUGUAAGGUGCAGUUCAGAGCAAAGGCUGUGGUGAGAAAUAUGGGCAAAGAGUAAGCCUGCCCACUGCUCUCCAACCUCUGUGUCCCUCCUUGCAGCAGCAAUACGCACCAGUAAGCCUGGAGUUAUCCAG